rnacentral:tmRNA from 1 species
GGGGGCGUAAGGGAUUCGACGGGAAUGAAAGUGUAUGAUAAGCGAGUAGAGGAGAUGCCACCUCUAUAAAAGGCAUAUUUAAAUUUUAAAUGCAAAAAAUAAUGCAAGUAUAGGCUUUGUUAACAGCAAAGCUCUUUUGGCAGCUUAAUUAAUUUUGCCAAGGUUGUAUUCUAGUUUUGCUGCGAACUGAAUUCAACUUCAUUUGAUUUUAGCAGUAAACAGUUCAUGGAAUAUCUCAGUUCUUUGAACAGUGAAUUAAUGAGAUACUCUAUUUUAUCGGUUUGCUUUUUGUCUAUAUAAUAUGAGGAAUUUCUAACAAUAAGCUACACUCGUAGAAAGUUAUACAUACUCACUUUUCGGACAGGGGUUCAACUCCCCUCGCCUCCACCA